CGGUGGAGCAUGUGGUUUAAUUCGAAGCAACGCGCAGAACCUUACCAGCCCUUGACAUGGCUCGUUGAUUUCCGGAGACGAUUUAGGCGAGAACAGGUGUGACGAGCGCAACCCUCGCCUUUAGUUGCCAUCGGGAUGUCAAGUCUCAUGGCCCUUAUGGGCUGGCUACAUACAUGGCGGUGACAUGGGACGCAACCUCGCGAGGGGUAGCUUCUCCAAAAGCCGUCUCAGUUCGGAUAACACUGCAACUCGAGUGUUUGAAGGUGGAAUCGCUAGUAAUCGGGAUCAGCAUGCCGCGGUGAAUACGUUCCCGGGCCUUGUACACACCGCCGUCACACCAUGGGAGUUGGUUCUACCUUAAGACGGUGGGUUAACCUGGCAACAGGAGACAGCCGGCCACGUAGGGUCAGCGACUGGGGUGAAGUCGU
rnacentral:rRNA from 1 species